UACAGAGGGUGCGAGCGUUAAUCGGAAUUACUGGGCGUAAAGCGCGCGUAGACGGUUUUGUAAGUCGGAUGUGAAAUCCCCGGGCUCAACCUGGGAACUGCAUUCGAUACUGCUUGGCUAGAGUACGGUAGAGGGAAGCGGAAUUUCCGGUGUAGCGGUGAAAUGCGUAGAUAUCGGAAGGAACACCAGUGGCGAAAGCGGCUUCCUGGACCAGUACUGACGUCAUGUGCGAAAGCGUGGGGAGCAAACAGG
rnacentral:rRNA from 1 species